rnacentral:rRNA from 1 species
AUUGAACGCUGGCGGCAUGCCUUACACAUGCAAGUCGAACGGCAGCACGGGAGCAAUCCUGGUGGCGAGUGGCGAACGGGUGAGUAAUACAUCGGAACGUGUCCAGUUGUGGGGGAUAGCCCGGGCGAAAGCCGGAUUAAUACCGCAUACGACCUACGGGUGAAAGCGGGGGAUCGCAAGACCUCGCGCUAUUGGGGCGCCGAUGUCAGAUUAGCUUGUUGGUGGGGUAAAAGCCUACCAAGGCGACGAUCUGUAGCUGGUCUGAGAGGACGACCAGCCACACUGGGACUGAGAAACGGCCCAGACUCCUACGGGAGGCAGCAGUGGGGAAUUUUGGAC